GUAAGUAAUUCAUAUCUAUAAUCACGAAUGUAUAUUAUUUAACCGUGUGAGUGUUAAAUUGUACUUAUUAGCCCGUAUGAUACAUUUCCCAAGUUUUCUCUGUCACUCGUUUCCUAGUUAGCGAAAUACAUCAGAAAAGUAGCUGUCCCCCUGCUCAGAUUUUUGUCUGCUGAUACCUUUAGCCUCACAUGUGACCUGACCUCUAUGUGGCAGUGCAGACAUUGUGUAACCAGAGAGAUUAGCAGAACACAGACACCGAGGUCAGCGCCUGCAAGGCACAAACUGUGCUGGGAGUCUACGCAAUGAAAAGGGAAGGCGCGGAGCCUGGAGACGAACUAGAGGACGUUGGCAUCCUCAUCGAGGGAGAGGAGGUGAUCAGCGAUCUUGGCAACAUCGGGAUGGCCUUCGUGCUUUUAUUUGGACUGAUUUACUGCCUUAACUUAACCUACCCAGCAGACCUCA
ensembl:lncRNA